rnacentral:tRNA from 1 species
GCACUGGUGGCGUAAUGGUAGCGUCUCAGCCUUCCAAGCUGAUGGUGCGGGUUCGAUUCCCGCUCGGUGCU